AUUGAACGCUGGCGGCAUGCCUAACACAUGCAAGUCGAACGGCAGCACGGCAGUAGCAAUACUGUGGGUGGCGAGUGGCGGACGGGUGAGGAAUACGUCGGAAUCUGCCCAGUCGUGGGGGAUAACUAGCCGAAAGGUUAGCUAAUACCGCAUACGACCGAGAGGUGAAAGCGGGGGACCGCAAGGCCUCGCGCGAUUGGAUGAGCCGACGUCGGAUUAGCUAGUUGGUGGGUAAAGGCCCACCAAGGCGACGAUCCGUAGCUGGUCUGAGAGGAUGAUCAGCCACACUGGAACUGAGACACGGUCCAGACUCCUACGGGAGGCAGCAGUGGGGAAUAUUGCGCAAUGGGGGAAACCCUGACGCAGCCACGCCGCGUGGGUGAUGAAGGCCCUCGGGUUGUAAAGCCCUGUCGGGGGGGACGAAGUACUGACGGUACCCUCCAAGAAAGCACCGGCUAACUCCGUGCCAGCAGCCGCGGUAAUGUCGAUA
rnacentral:rRNA from 1 species